GGGCGAGCGAAGCGGACGUCAGCGCGUGCUCGCUCCCGGCAGCUUCGCCCGGCAGCCGGCGCUCGGGCACGGACUCGGGCCCCGGUUAACCCUCUAGGGCGCUCUGCCAGCCCCGCACCCCUCCAACCUUCCAUCCCCCGCCUCGCGCGCGUGGGGAUCCACGUGGCUGUCACUUUUGGAGCCGUGCUGGGGGACCUGGACGAUAACUGAGGCCCGAGUCGGAGCGCUGGAGGUCCAGCCGAGAGGGCUUGGCGCAGUCCGCCCGUUAUCUCCGGACGCGCUCAUCCCCCUGCGCUGGCCGUGGUCCCCGCUGUUACCUCUGCAGCAGCCUCUUCUUCCUGCAGUGAGGUUCUUCCUCUCAGCCUCCCUGAGAGCUGGGCCGGCGGCCGCGGCUUUCCCUGCGCAGAGGACCUGAGCAGGCUGUUGGGACAUUGCCAAGCCGACCAAAGAGACGUGACUGCCUCAAAGACCGCCGGCGCAGGGUGGCCCUGGGAAGGAGGGACACAGGCAAAGGGUGUAAAGUACGGACUAACUUCCCUACAAAGCGGAUAUUCAAAAUGAAAGGAUGCCCAGGGUGAUUGCUCAUCUGAUAUCUGCCCCUGUGAAGCCUGCUGGUCCCCUAGAAUGCACCUGGAGGGGAACAACUGCCUUCAGAGAAAGCAGAAAGCCACUAAAGCAGAUGCUUGAAAUCUUUGCUGGAGGCCUUGUAAAAAGUUAUGCACUUGUCUUAGUUCUUUUGAGGAAUCUGGAGGUAAAGAACACAAAGCGAAAGAGACAAGAGACAGUGACAGACUGAACCAUUGGAGAAUAUAGCCCAGAGGUGGGAUGAGAGAAGGCCUCACUGGGCUGUGCUGGGCUGUCUAGGCUGCAACUAGCUUCCCUGCCCCAGCCCAUAAAGCUGCAACAAGACUGAUUAGAAAUGAUACAAUUAGACUCAGGUGAUUAGUUCAAGUAGAAGCAAAGUUCAUCAGUCUUAAAUCUCCAAAUCUGCUCCAUAUCUGUUCUCAGCUGAUAUCCCUGGGCUAGCCUCUGUGUCUUCUUGUCCUCUCUGAUCUGUGCCAGUGGAGGAGACAUGGAACUUUUGCGACAAGUUGAACAACAGUGAUCCUCAGUAAUGAGGUUUCACAGGCCAGCCUGGGCAGAUCCAGUUGGAUGUGGAUUUGAGUCUUAGCCACACUCUUUCCUUCUGCAAUGCCAGGUACAUACCCCCACAAAUCUGGAAGCUGGAGUUUCAAGUUCAUGGUUGUGAUCUAGACAUUAGCAACUUAGAAGGCUCCAGCACAACUUUUGCUCCAAGUCUGCUUUGGCCACCGGAUGAAGAAUCCGGCUCCUCCCAGAAGAAGCUCCUCACCAUGGCUCCCAUGAGGAUUUUAUGGCCGGUUGCACAAGAGAGACAAAGGGCGUCUUUAAAUUACACAAUCCCCAGCAUACAGCCUUGGUCCCAUUGGUUGAUUUUUCUAUUUUCCCCAUGGUUCUCCUUGAUUGCUUUGCCUCUGGGACUUUUCCCCUUUGACCCAGCCUUUUGGAGCUUCUUAAUUCUUCCUGUUCUUGUCCUUCUUGAUUAAAAGAGUAAAAGAGAGAGAAACUG